rnacentral:lncRNA from 1 species
GAUGUACAAGCGGUUGUUGUCGAGAGAUUAAAUGAAUACCGCUAAUAUGGAAUCAAAAGAGUGUAGAUAUUGUUGAUGUGGAAGACAACUCAGAAUUCUUCCCCCUUGCAUUUGUAAUAGUAGAUUCAAAAAUCAUGUGAAUCUAGAUAUGAAGCCUCCAUUGACCAAAAGAUCAUUCGGCCAACUAAGAAAUGUUGAAAUGAAGUCUCGUGGUGAAGGUGACAAAAUUAUGUUGGGCUCAAACAUUAUGCCUAUAGGUUUAGAGCGUCACCAUUGAAAAAUGAUAGUAGCAUUACAACAUUGACGGUAACUUUAUACAAUUAUUGUAAUAGAUUUUCACAACUAUGGUAGUGGC